rnacentral:rRNA from 1 species
UAGGGAAUCUUCGGCAAUGGGGGCAACCCUGACCGAGCAACGCCGCGUGAGUGAAGAAGGUUUUCGGAUCGUAAAGCUCUGUUGUAAGAGAACAACGUCUGUGAGAGUGGAAAUUUCACACAGUGACGGUAACUUACCAGAAAGGGAAGGCUAACUACGUGCCAGCAGCCGCGGUAAUACGUAGGUCCCGAGCGUUGUCCGGAUUUAUUUGGCGUAAAGCGAGCGCAGGCGGUUUAAUAAGUCUGAAGUUAAAGGCAGUGGCUUAACCAUUGUGCGCUUUGGAAACUGUUAAACUUGAGUGCAGACGGGGAGAGUGGAAUUCCAUGUGUAGCGGUGAAAUGCGUAGAUAUAUGGAGGAACACCGGUGGCGAAAGCGGCUCUCUGGUCUGUAACUGACGCUGAGGCUCGAAAGCGUGGGGAGCAAACAGG